UACGUAGGGUGCAAGCGUUGUCCGGAAUUAUUGGGCGUAAAGAGCUCGUAGGCGGUUUGUCGCGUCUGCUGUGAAAACUCGGGGCUUAACCCCGGGCCUGCAGUGGGUACGGGCAGACUAGAGUGCGGUAGGGGAGACUGGAAUUCCUGGUGUAGCGGUGAAAUGCGUAGAGAUCCGGAGGAACACCAAAGGCGAAGGCAGUGUCCUGGGGAGUACCUGACGCUCAGGUGCGAAAGCCAGGGGAGCGAACGGG
rnacentral:rRNA from 1 species